AUCUGCUUCAGUACAACGUUGUUAUUCAUUCUGUAUGUAAAAUUUUAUUUCAUUUUAUUUUAAACAAUGCAAAACAUCUUUGAUUUUGUAAAUACAGCAAAAUGUUGAGUGAUAUGAAGAUCAUACUUGAAACCCAUAGUUUUAUUACUUAAUUGGUCCCUUGUACCGUUAUCAUUUUAUCACUAUUAUCUAUUCCCAAUUUUACCCAUAUGCAAAGUGAAAACACGAAUGUCAUCAAAUACAUUUUCAGUGAAGUAUCAGAAUGAACUUAUACUGUUUGUUGGUAUGGCUACUCAACUGGCAUAAGAUUUUAUUAUGUAUUUGUACGAGUGAUGAAUAAACUUUUGAGGUACAUAAAAGUGAAG